GAUGAACGCUGGCGGCGUGCUUAACACAUGCAAGUCGAACGAUGAAGCCCAGCUUGCUGGGUGGAUUAGUGGCGAACGGGUGAGUAACACGUGAGUAACCUGCCCUUAACUCUGGGAUAAGCCUGGGAAACUGGGUCUAAUACCGGAUAGGAGCGUCCACCGCAUGGUGGGUGUUGGAAAGAUUUAUCGGUUUUGGAUGGACUCGCGGCCUAUCAGUUUGUUGGUGAGGUAAUGGCUCACCAAGGCGACGACGGGUAGCCGGCCUGAGAGGGUGACCGGCCACACUGGGACUGAGACACGGCCCAGACUCCUACGGGAGGCAGCAGUGGGGAAUAUUGCACAAUGGGCGCAAGCCUGAUGCAGCGACGCCGCGUGAGGGAUGACGGCCUUCGGGUUGUAAACCUCUUUCAGUAGGGAAGAAGCGAAAGUGACGGUACCUGCAGAAGAAGCACCGGCUAACUACGUG
rnacentral:rRNA from 1 species